GUCGCAGGGCAGGGCUGGGCUGUGCUGGACAGUGGCCACUCGAGUAGGGCGGCCUCCUGUCCUCU
rnacentral:miRNA from 1 species